UUUUCGAGUGGACUCGGAGCAGUGUUGAGAAAAAACUAUGGAUCCUGGAAUUUUACUGUGGAUUUUACUGGUUUUCUGGAGUGCUCUCCCACUGAAGCAGCGAUCUGGUUGUCCAGAGAGUGUGCAGGAGCUGAUGUGCCUGUGUUCAGAGGGUAGGAGACCCUGGCUGGGUACCCAGCUGUGCAGCUGCCCCAAGCACAAAGGAAAAAUCCUGGCUGAAAUUAGAUGUGGCAGGUAUCAGCCACAUGGCAAAACAGAAGCCAGCUCACCUCUCCCGUGAGGGUUUGCUAAAGUCACAAUGAUGACCAGUGCAAACGAUGGCUCUGACAUCCUGAUGACACAAUGGUUCCAGGCAACAAAUUCACCAAAUGGAAGAAAAACACGAAGUAUUUUAUUUUCUGAAGCAAAGUGUAAGACAUUGCUCUGCACAAUUUCUCUUGUAAACCCAUCCUUGUGGCUGUUCAGCCUACUGAUGGUUACUCAAACUGUGAUUCAAGCAGAGCAUACAUUCAUUUAUAAAGUGUCUAGGAUG